UACAGAGGUCCCAAGCGUUGUUCGGAUUCAUUGGUCGUAAAGGGUGCGUAGGUGGCGCUGUAAGUCGGGUGUGAAAUUUCGGAGCUUAACUCCGAAACUGCAUUCGAUACUGCGGUGCUUGAGGACUGGAGAGGAGACUGGAAUUCAUGGUGUAGCAGUGAAAUGCGUAGAGAUCAUGAGGAAGACCAGUGGCGAAGGCGGGUCUCUGGACAGUUCCUGACACUGAGGCACGAAGGCCAGGGGAGCAAACGGG
rnacentral:rRNA from 1 species